GUGGAUCUUCAAAUCUUUCUUCAAACUCCUUCCACCGAUUACAGAGGAAUAAAGAGAAAAAAAGAAGUGACCCGAAGUAUUUUCUAAGAAAAUUAUGGACAACUUAUUGUAAAUAGAAGGUAGGUAGAGCUUACACCCGUCACUAAUAGAAAACCUGAUUCCUGUUAA
rnacentral:lncRNA from 1 species